rnacentral:rRNA from 4 species
GUACCCUGGUAGUCCACGCUGUAAACGAUGUCGACUUGGAGGUUGUUCCCUUGAGGAGUGGCUUCCGGAGCUAACGCGUUAAGUCGACCGCCUGGGGAGUACGGCCGCAAGGUUAAAACUCAAAUGAAUUGACGGGGGCCCGCACAAGCGGUGGAGCAUGUGGUUUAAUUCGAUGCAACGCGAAGAACCUUACCUACUCUUGACAUCCAGAGAACUUAGCAGAGAUGCUUUGGUGCCUUCGGGAACUCUGAGACAGGUGCUGCAUGGCUGUCGUCAGCUCGUGUUGUGAAAUGUUGGGUUAAGUCCCGCAACGAGCGCAACCCUUAUCCUUUGUUGCCAGCGGUUCGGCCGGGAACUCAAAGGAGACUGCCAGUGAUAAACUGGAGGAAGGUGGGGAUGACGUCAAGUCAUCAUGGCCCUUACGAGUAGGGCUACACACGUGCUACAAUGGCAUAUACAAAGAGAAGCGACCUCGCGAGAGCAAGCGGACCUCAUAAAGUAUGUCGUAGUCCGGAUCGGAGUCUGCAACUCGACUCCGUGAAGUCGGAAUCGCUAGUAAUCGUGGAUCAGAAUGCCACGGUGAAUACGUUCCCGGGCCUUGUACACACCGCCCGUCACACCAUGGGAGUGGGUUGCAAAAGAAGUAGGUAGCUUAAC